AAGAGACAUUUUGGUAGUCUGAAGAAACUUGAUUCUCAACUUAUUAUCGGUUAAGGGACGUUUACUACCGACGGCUGAUUUGAUCAGAUGUAUGUUUUCCAAGAAAAACCAACCUCCUUCAUCGAGAACUCUAGGGACGUCAUAUCCAGGGUAGAAAUAAGGACAAAUGAAAUAAAUCAUUGUGCCCUAAAAAAAAAAAUUGACUUAUGAAUUAUUAAUAGAUUAGAUCCAAAGAAUACUAUUUAAUUUAGAAUUACCAUCUCGUUGCACAAGAUCAUUUGGUAACACUUCCCACCCUCAUGAGAAAGUGUUACCCACCAACAUAGUAUCUUCACAAAAACCUUCCACUCUUUUUAUUUGGGAAACUUGAGAGAGAUAUGAGAUACCUUUGUAAUAACCACCUCUAUCAUCUCUCAACAUCUUUGUUUU
rnacentral:sRNA from 1 species